CCCUAUGGGGUGCACCAGGGAGGAGAUCAAAUUGGCUUUGAGAUCAUCUGUGAUAUUGACCAUCUUAAGCAGAUCAAGGGUUAAUCCAAGCUUCAAAGACCUGAUUUCUCCGAUCCUGCUCAUCAAUCCCUUUCGCUUUAGAAUCGCUUCGUAAUAUCCCAAAAGGCCGAGCAUGCUCUCGCUUUUUCGGGAUUUCUCACAUCUGCCUGAUUCAAGCACUACUGUUUCCUCCCAUCUGCAAAGCAUAAUUUCGAAACCAUUCAUUGAUCUCGUAGGAUAUAUUCUUUCGCAUAUUAAACUACAUAUCCCUAUAUUGUCUAUUUAUUCUAUAUACACAGCAAUAUUGGCGGGGGGGC
rnacentral:rRNA from 1 species